AGUGAACGCUGGCGGUAGGCCCAACACAUGCAAGUCGAACGGCAGCACAGUAAGAGCUUGCUCUUACGGGUGGCGAGUGGCGGACGGGUGAGGAAUACAUCGGAAUCUACUUUUUCGUGGGGGAUAACGUAGGGAAACUUACGCUAAUACCGCAUACGACCUACGGGUGAAAGCAGGGGAUCUUCGGACCUUGCGCGAUUGAAUGAGCCGAUGUCGGAUUAGCUAGUUGGCGGGGUAAAGGCCCACCAAGGCGACGAUCCGUAGCUGGUCUGAGAGGAUGAUCAGCCACACUGGAACUGAGACACGGUCCAGACUCCUACGGGAGGCAGCAGUGGGGAAUAUUGGACAAUGGGCGCAGGCCUGAUCCAGCCAUACCGCGUGGGUGAAGAAGGCCUUCGGGUUGUAAAGCCCUUUUGUUGGGAAAGAAAAGCAGCAGGUUAAUACCCCGCUGUUCUGACGGUACCCAAAGAAUAAGCACCGGCUAACUUCGUG
rnacentral:rRNA from 1 species